rnacentral:rRNA from 1 species
AUUGAACGCUGGCGGCCGGCCUAACACAAGCAAGUCGAAAGAGCGGAGGACGGGUGUGUAAUGUCUGGGAAACUGCCAGAUGGAGGGGGAUAAGUACGGGUAAUGGUAGCUAAUACCGCAUACCAUCAGAUGUGCCCAGAUGGGAUUAGCUAGUUGGUGGGGUCAUGGCUCACCAAGGCGACGAUCCCUAGCUGGUCUGAGAGGAUGACGUGGCACGCUGGAACUGAGAAUCAGUCCCGGAGCCUAUGGGCGGCAGCAGUGGGGAAUAUGGAACAAUGGGUGCAAGCCUGAUGCAGCCAAGCCGGGUGGAUGUGGAAGGCCUUCGGGUUUGUUAGUACUUUCGGCGUGGAGGCGUUAGCCGCAGAAGAAGCACCGGCUAACGCCGAGCCAGCCGCCGCGGUAAUUC